rnacentral:rRNA from 1 species
GACGAACGCUGGCGGCGUGCUUAACACAUGCAAGUCGAACGGAAAGGCCCUGCUUUUGUGGGGUGCUCGAGUGGCGAACGGGUGAGUAACACGUGAGUAACCUGCCCUUGACUUUGGGAUAACUUCAGGAAACUGGGGCUAAUACCGGAUAGUAGCUCCUGCUGCAUGGUGGGGGUUGGAAAGUUUCGGCGGUUGGGGAUGGACUCGCGGCUUAUCAGCUUGUUGGUGGGGUAGUGGCUUACCAAGGCUUUGACGGGUAGCCGGCCUGAGAGGGUGACCGGCCACAAUAGGACUGAGAUACGGCGCAGACUGGAACAGGAGGCAGCAGGGGGGAAUAUUACACAAUGGGCGGGAGCCUGAUGAGAAAACGCCGCGUGCGGGAUGACGGCCUUCGGGUUGUGAACCGCUUUCGCCUGUGACGAAGCGUGAGUGACGGUAAUGGGUGAAGAAGCACCGGCUAACUACGUG